GACGAACGCUGGCGGCGUGCUUAACACAUGCAAGUCGAACGGAAAGGCCCUGCUUUUGUGGGGUGCUCGAGUGGCGAACGGGUGAGUAACACGUGAGUAACCUGCCCUUGACUUUGGGAUAACUUCAGGAAACUGGGGCUAAUACCGGAUAGGAGCUCCUGCUGCAUGGUGGGGGUUGGAAAGUUUCGGCGGUUGGGGAUGGACUCGCGGCUUAUCAGCUUGUUGGUGGGGUAGUGGCUUACCAAGGCUUUGACGGGUAGCCGGCCUGAGAGGGUGACCGGCCACAUUGGGACUGAGAUACGGCCCAGACUCCUACGGGAGGCAGUAGUGGGGAAUAUUGCACAAUGGGCGGAAGCCUGAUGCAGCAACGCCGCGUGCGGGAUGACGGCCUUCGGGUUGUAAACCGCUUUCGCCUGUGACGAAGCGUGAGUGACGGUAAUGGGUAAAGAAGCACCGGCUAACUACGUG
rnacentral:rRNA from 1 species